UAACCGUAUAGGGGAGCCGUAGAGAAAUCGAGUCUUAAUAGGGCGUUUAGUUGCUGGGUAUAGACCCGAAACCAGGCGAUCUAUCCAUGAGCAGGUUGAAGGUUGGGUAACACUAACUGGAGGACCGAACCCACUGUCGUUGAAAAGCCAGGGGAUGACUUGUGGAUAGGGGUGAAAGGCUAAUCAAGCCUGGUGAUAGCUGGUUCUCCCCGAAAGCUAUUUAGGUAGCGCCUCGGACGAAUACCAUAGGGGGUAGAGCACUGUUUCGGCUAGGGGGUCAUCCCGACUUACCAAACCGAUGCAAACUCCGAAUACCUAUGAGUACUAUCCGGGAGACAGACUGCGGGUGCUAACGUCCGUAGUCAAGAGGAAAACAAUCCAGACCGCCAGCUAAGGCCCCAAAAUCAUAGUUAAGUGGGAAACGAUGUGGGAAGGCAUAGACAGCUAGGAGGUUGGCUUAGAAGCAGCCACCCUUUAAAGAAAGCGUAAUAGCUCACUAGUCGAGUCGGCCUGCGCGGAAGAUGUAACGGGGCUAAAACUAUGUGCCGAAGCUGCGGAUGUAUACUUUGUAUACGUGGUAGGGGAGCGUUCUGUAAGCCGAUGAAGGUGUGUUGAGAAGCAUGCUGGAGGUAUCAGAAGUGCGAAUGCUGACGUGAGUAACGACAAAACGGGUGAAAAACCCGUUCGCCGAAAGACCAAGGGUUCCAGUCCAACGUUAAUCGGGGCUGGGUGAGUCGACCCCUAAGGCGAGGCCGAAAGGCGUAGUCGAUGGGAAAAUGGUUAAUAUUCCAUUACUUCUGUGUAAUGCGAUGAGAGGACGGAGAAGGCUAAAUCAGCCUGGCGUUGGUUGUCCAGGUGAAAGGAUGUAGGCAUGUAUCUUAGGCAAAUCCGGGGUACUCUAUGCUGAGAUCUGAUAGCAAGCUGUACUUGUACAGCGAAGUGGUUGAUGCCAUGCUUCCAGGAAAAGUCUCUAAGCUUCAGUUACACAGGAAUCGUACCCGAAACCGACACAGGUGGUCAGGUCGAGUAGACCAAGGCGCUUGAGAGAACUCUGCUGAAGGAACUAGGCAAAAUGGUACCGUAACUUCGGGAGAAGGUACGCUGUUGUUGGUGAUGGAACUCGCUUCCUGAGCUGACGACAGCCGCAGAAACCAGGCCGCUGCAACUGUUUAUUAAAAACAUAGCACUCUGCAAACACGAAAGUGGACGUAUAGGGUGUGAUGCCUGCCCGGUGCUGGAAGGUUAAUUGAUGGGGUUAGCGUAAGCGAAGCUCUUGAUCGAAGCCCCAGUAAACGGCGGCCGUAACUAUAACGGUCCUAAGGUAGCGAAAUUCCUUGUCGGGUAAGUUCCGACCUGCACGAAUGGCAUAAUGAUGGCGGCGCUGUCUCCAGCAGAGGCUCAGUGAAAUCGAAAUCGCUGUGAAGAUGCAGUGUACCCGCGGCUAGACGGAAAGACCCCGUGAACCUUUACUGCAGCUUGACACUGAACUUUGACCUUACUUGUGUAGGAUAGGUGGGAGGCUUUGAAGCUGGAACGCUAGUUCCAGUGGAGCCGUCCUUGAAAUACCACCCUGGUAAUGUUGAGGUUCUAACUCUGUCCCGUGAUCCGGGACGAGGACCGUGUCUGGUGGGUAGUUUGACUGGGGCGGUCUCCUCCUAAAGAGUAACGGAGGAGUACGAAGGUGCGCUCAGCGUGGUCGGAAAUCACGCGUAGAGUAUAAAGGCAAAAGCGCGCUUAACUGCGAGACCCACAAGUCGAGCAGGUACGAAAGUAGGUCUUAGUGAUCCGGUGGUUCUGUAUGGAAGGGCCAUCGCUCAACGGAUAAAAGGUACUCUGGGGAUAACAGGCUGAUACCGCCCAAGAGUUCAUAUCGACGGCGGUGUUUGGCACCUCGAUGUCGGCUCAUCUCAUCCUGGGGCUGAAGCAGGUCCCAAGGGUAUGGCUGUUCGCCAUUUAAAGAGGUACGCGAGCUGGGUUUAGAACGUCGUGAGACAGUUCGGUCCCUAUCUACCGUGGGCGCUGGAAAUUUGAGAGGAUCUGCUCCUAGUACGAGAGGACCAGAGUGGACGAACCUCUGGUGUACCGGUUGUGACGCCAGUCGCAUCGCCGGGUAGCUAUGUUCGGAAGGGAUAACCGCUGAAAGCAUCUAAGCGGGAAGCCUACCUCAAGAUAAGAUUUCCCUAGGACUUUAUGUCCUCUAAAGAGCCGUUCGAGACUAGGACGUUGAUAGGUUGGAUGUGGAAGCAUAGUGAUAUGUGAAGCUGACCAAUACUAAUUGCUCGUGAGGCUUGACU
rnacentral:rRNA from 1 species